CCUACGGGAGGCAGCAGUGGGGAAUAUUGCACAAUGGGCGAAAGCCUGAUGCAGCAACGCCGCGUGAGUGAUGAAGGCCUUCGGGUCGUAAAGCUCUGUCCUCAAGGAAGAUAAUGACGGUACUUGAGGAGGAAGCCCCGGCUAACUACGUGCCAGCAGCCGCGGUAAUACGUAGGGGGCUAGCGUUAUCCGGAAUUACUGGGUGUAAGGGGUGCGUAGGGGGUUUGCCAAGUCAGUGGUAAAAGGCUGAGGCUCAACCGUAGUAAGCCUUUGAAACUGGGAAACUGGAGUGCAGGAGAGGAAAGUGGAAUUCCUAGGGUAGCGGUGAAAUGCGUAGAGAUUAGGAGGAACACCAGUGGCGAAGGCGGCUUUCUGGACUGUAACUGACGCUGAGGCACGAAAGCGUGGGGAGCAAACAGGAUUAGAUACCCGUGUAGUC
rnacentral:rRNA from 1 species